rnacentral:lncRNA from 1 species
GGGCCUACCCUGCUGAAACAUGGCUUCAGUGAUGCAAUUGCUCAAGUAGGUUUGGUCAAGUUCGUCACAGAUCUUUUCUGGGUCGGUAUGUUUUACCAUCUCUACAAUCAGGUAAUUGUUAAACUUUUGACGAGUUUGAAAUAACUUUUUUUGUGAAGUGGUAAUGAUGUAUCUCUUAUAUUUACAUCUUUCAUAAUCAGGUUGCCACCAAUACACUCGAGAGAGUGGCACCUCUUACUCAUGCAGUUGGCAACGUACUGAAACGUGUGUUUGUUAUUGGAUUUUCAAUUGUAAUCUUUGGUAAGUAUUAUUUUCUUCAAUGCUAUUGUACUUCAAUUUCCACCCAAGUAUAUUUUAUUAUUGUGUUUCAUCCCUUCAAGAUAGAGUAAUCAAACAUUCUGAGUGGCAAAUUGAUUAACACAGGUAACAAGAUUUCUACCCAAACUGGUAUUGGAACAGCCAUUGCAAUUGCUGGUGUGGCACUGUACUCCCUCAUCAAGGCCAAGUUGGAGGAAGAGAAGCGAGUGAGUCUUUCUUUAACAUGAUUUCUACCACAACUGUAUUUUUGAAACUUCAAAUUUUUAUUGUGCAUUGCCAACAAUCACUGCCUAAAUGCUUUAAUGGAAGAUGUAGCCAGAGUGCAGGUGCGAUAUGGUUAUGGAAACUUCCAGAACCGCGAUAUCGCUGGCCGCAAUUCGUACUACGGGCUGCAACUUAAAACCACAUGUUACUAUAUAUAGUUACACUCUUCUAGCAAGUAAUAAAUUUUUGAAUUGUUGAUGAUCAGAAAUUUCUGAACUAAUGUCGUACUUUUAGAUGGUUUUACCUUACCCCUCCAGAAUGCACAGGCUAAAUAGCAUCACAAAAAUUAACACCUUUUUUUCUUCUUAAUUUUCUUUUCAGCAAG